rnacentral:rRNA from 1 species
GAGGAGCUUGCUCCUUGGGUGACGAGUGGCNNNNNNNNNGUGAGUAAUGUCUGGGAAACUGCCCGAUGGAGGGGGAUAACUACUGGAAACGGUAGCUAAUACCGCAUAACGUCGCAAGACCAAAGAGGGGGACCUUCGGGCCUCUUGCCAUCGGAUGUGCCCAGAUGGGAUUAGCUAGUAGGUGGGGUAACGGCUCACCUAGGCGACGAUCCCUAGCUGGUCUGAGAGGAUGACCAGCCACACUGGAACUGAGACACGGUCCAGACUCCUACGGGAGGCAGCAGUGGGGAAUAUUGCACAAUGGGCGCAAGCCUGAUGCAGCCAUGCCGCGUGUAUGAAGAAGGCCUUCGGGUUGUAAAGUACUUUCAGCGAGGAGGAAGGUGUUGUGGUUAAUAACCGCAGCNAUUGACGUUACUCGCAGAAGAAGCACCGGCUAACUCCGUGCCAGCAGCCGCGGUAAUACGGAGGGUGCAAGCGUUAAUCGGAAUUACUGGGCGUAAAGCGCACGCAGGCGGUCUGUCAAGUCGGAUGUGAAAUCCCCGGGCUCAACCUGGGAACUGCAUCCGAAACUGGCAGGCUAGAGUNUUGNNNAGGGGGGUAGAAUUCCAGGUGUAGCGGUGAAAUGCGUAGAGAUCUGGAGGAAUACCGGUGGCGAANGCGGCCCCCUGGACAAAGACUGACGCUCAGGUGCGAAAGCGUGNGGGAGCAAACAGGAUUAGAUACCNUGGUAGUCCACGCCNUAAACNAUGUCGACUUGGANGUUGUGCCCUUGAGGCGUGGCUUCNNGANCUNACGCGUUAAGUCGACCGCCUGGGGAGUACNGNCGCAAGGUUAAACUCAAAUGAAUUGACGGGGGCCCGCACNANNNGUGNANCAUGNGNNUUAAUUCGAUGCANNCGAANAACCNUACCUACUCU